rnacentral:rRNA from 1 species
GGACUGGAGUCUGCAACCCGACUCCACGAAGUUGGAUUCGCUAGUAAUCGCGCAUCAGCCAUGGCGCGGUGAAUACGUUCCCGGGCCUUGUACACACCGCCCGUCAAGCCAUGGGAGCCGGGGGCGCCUGAAGUCCGGGACCGCGAGGACCGGCCUAGGGCGAAACUGGUAACUGGGGCUAAGUCGUAACAAGGUACC